rnacentral:rRNA from 1 species
UCUGGUUGAUUCUGCCAGUAGUCAUAUGCUUGUUUCAAGGACUAAGCCAUGCAUGCCUAAGAAUCACUGCUUUGCAGGAAUCUGCGCAUGGCUCAUUACAUCAGACGUAAUCUGCCGCAAAAACGUUGCGGUCACGCAAAAUUGGAUACCUUGGCGAAACGCCAAGCUAAUACAUGAAUAAGUGGGCUCGUCUCCGUUAUUGUUCCGUGAGGUUCGCCGAUCGGGGCAGUGAGACAACCAUGCGAAUGAAUGAAAGUAAGACCAAUGCCGUUCACGCGGCAGUAACACCAAGUAGUGUUGAUUCAAUUCAUUCCGUGCGAAAGCCGAUUCACUCGGCGUCUUUUGAGGAACAACUGCCCUAUCAGCCAGUGAUGGCCGUGUAGUGGACUGCCAUGGCGUUGACGGGAGCGGGGGAUUAGGGUUCGAUUCCGGAGAGGGAGCCUGAGAAACGGCUACCACUUCUACCGAGGGCAGCAGGCGCGCAAAUUGCCCAAUGCCAAGAAAUUGUUGAGGCAGCGAAAAGAAAUAGGUCUUCCAAAUGCCUUUCCGGUAUUUGGGAGUAUACAAUGGGGGAUAUUUAAAGCCAUCCAACAUCGAGUAACAAUUGGAGGACAAGUCUGGUGCCAGCACCCGCGGUAAUUCCAGCUCCAAGAGCGUAUAUUAACGCUGUUGCUGUUAAAGGGUUCGUAGUUGAAUUGUGGACUGCCGAGCUACGACAAAGUCCUUUCCUUUCGAGGAUCGCGACCGUUGUGCUUGCAGCUCCGUGAUCACUCGAAAUAAAUACCACGGGAGCGUUUCCUUCCCGGAUUCCGCAUGUAACGCAUGCUCGGGGGGCGCCCGUGAUUUUUACUGUGACUAAAGAAGUGUGACCAAAGCAGUCAUUCGACCUGAAUUUUAAAGCAUGGGAUAACAACGAAGCAACCUACGGUCCUUCCGUUUUGGCUUUUGUUGGUUUUAAAUGUCCGUGGGAGAUUAGGGGUCCGCACGACCAGCGGUUCGGGGUUCGUCCCCACGCCUUCGCUCGUUCGCCUCUUUGUUGAGACGGGCGUGGCGACUUGCGGUGCCCAGGAAUGAAGGAGGGUAGUUCGGGGGAGAACGUACUUGAGCGUGAGAGGUGAAAUUCUUAGACCGCUCAAAGACGAACUACAGCGAAGGCAUUCUCCAAGGAUACCUUCCUCAAUCAAGAACCAAAGUGUGGAGAUCGAAGAUGAUUAGAGACCAUUGUAGUCCACACCACAAACGGUGACCCCCAUGAAUUGGGGAGUAUUUGGUGCGGUUGCACCUGGAUUCGUCCAGCGUGCAAUCCCCAAAAAGGAAAUCAAUUUACGUGCACAUUCAAAAAAAGGGCUACGGCCCUGCAAAUGGGAAUAUCCUCAGCACGUUCUCUGACUGUUUCACGCGAAAGCUUUGAGGUUACAGUCUCAGGGGGGAGUACGCUCGCAAGAGUGAAACUUAAAGAAAUUGACGGAAUGGCACCACAAGACGUGGAGCGUGCGGUUUAAUUUGACCCAACACGGGGAACUUUACCAGAUCCGGACAGGGUGAGGAUUGACAGAUU